UCCGUAGGGUGACCUGCGGAGGGAUCAUUACACAAAUAUGAAGGCGGGCUGGAACCUCUCGGGGUUACAGCCUUGCUGAAUUAUUCACCCUUGUCUUUUGCGUACUUCUUGUUUCCUUGGUGGGUUCGCCCACCACUAGGACAAACAUAAACCUUUUGUAAUUGCAAUCAGCGUCAGUAACAAAUUAAUAAUUACAACUUUCAACAACGGAUCUCUUGGUUCUGGCAUCGAUGAAGAACGCAGCGAAAUGCGAUAAGUAGUGUGAAUUGCAGAAUUCAGUGAAUCAUCGAAUCUUUGAACGCACAUUGCGCCCUUUGGUAUUCCAAAGGGCAUGCCUGUUCGAGCGUCAUUUGUACCCUCAAGCUUUGCUUGGUGUUGGGCGUCUUGUCUCUAGCUUUGCUGGAGACUCGCCUUAAAGUAAUUGGCAGCCGGCCUACUGGUUUCGGAGCGCAGCACAAGUCGCACUCUCUAUCAGCAAAGGUCUAGCAUCCAUUAAGCCUUUUUUUCAACUUUUGACCUCGGAUCAGGUAGGGAUACCCGCUGAACUUAAGCAUAUCAAAAGCGGGAGGAA
rnacentral:rRNA from 1 species